UCAGGUUGAAAAUCCGGCCUUCGGGCCAGAAUUGUAGUCUGUAGAGGCGGCGCCUCCCGCCGGCCCCUGCGAAGUCUGAUUGGAAAUGAGCAUCAAGGAGGGUGAUAGUCCCGUUCGUGCCGCGGUCGUCGUGCGGAAUGCAUGGCCCGUUUUCGACGAGUCGAGUUGCUUGGGAUUGCAGCUCUAAGUGGGUGGUAAACUCCAUCUAAAGCUAAACACGCGGGGGAGACCGAUAGCGAACAAGUACCGUGAGGGAAAGAUGCAAAGAACUUUGAAAAGAGAGUUAAAGAGUGCCUGAAAUCGCUGGGAGGGAAGCGAGGGAAAGCAGUGUCUGGCGGUUAAAUCGCUCCCCCGUACCCUUUCGGGGCUCGGCUUGCGCUCCGCUGUUGCCAGGGCCGGGUGGGGCCCGCGAUAUACCCGCCUCCGGGUAAGGUGUCCCAUGCUCUCUCGGGCG
rnacentral:rRNA from 1 species